rnacentral:rRNA from 1 species
UACGUAGGGGGCAAGCGUUUGUCCGGAAUCAUUGGGCGUAAAGAGCGUGUAGGCGGUCCGGUAAGUCGGCUGUGAAAGUCAGAGGCUCAACCUCUGGAGGCCAAUGGAUACUGCCGGGCUAGAGUCCGGAAGAGGCGAGUGGAAUUCCUGGUGUAGCGGUGGAAUGCGCAGAUAUCAGGAGGAACACCAGUGGCGAAGGCGGCGCUCUGGGCCGGAACUGACGCUGAGGAGCGAAAGCGUGGGUAGCAAACAGG